GACUAACGCUGGCUGCGUGCUUAGCACAGUGCAAGUCGAACGAUGAAGGCUAGCUUGCUAGGUGGAUUAGUGGCGAACGGGGGAGGAAUGCGGGAUUAGCCUACCGUUAGCUCUGGGAUAAGCGUGGGAAACUGGGUCUAAUAGCGGAUACGACCAAUCUCCGCAUGGGGUGUUGGUGGAAAGCGUUAUGUAGUGGUUAUAGAUGGGCUCGCGGCCUAUCAGCUUGUUGGUGAGGUAACGGCUCACCAAGGCGACGACGGGUAGCCGGCCUGAGAGGGUGACCGGCCACACUGGGACUGAGACACGGCCCAGACUCCUACGGGAGGCAGCAGUGGGGAAUAUUGCACAAUGGGCGCAAGCCUGAUGCAGCGACGCCGCGUGAGGGAUGACGGCCUUCGGGUUGUAAACCUCUGUUAGCAGGGAAGAAGAGAGAUUGACGGUACCUGCAGAGAAAGCGCCGGCUAACUACGUGCCAGCAGCCGCGGUAAUACGUAGGGCGCGAGCGUUGUCCGGAAUUAUUGGGCGUAAAGAGCUUGUAGGCGGUUUGUCGCGUCUGCUGUGAAGGCCGGGGCUUAACUCCGUGUAUUGCAGUGGGUACGGGCAGACUAGAGUGCAGUAGGGGAGACUGGAAUUCCUGGUGUAGCGGUGGAAUGCGCAGAUAUCAGGAGGAACACCGAUGGCGAAGGCAGGUCUCUGGGCUGUAACUGACGCUGAGAAGCGAAAGCAUGGGGAGCGAACAGGAUUAGAUACCCUGGUAGUCCAUGCCGUAAACGUUGGGCACUAGGUGUGGGGGACAUUCCACGUUUUCCGCGCCGUAGCUAACGCAUUAAGUGCCCCGCCUGGGGAGUACGGCCGCAAGGCUAAAACUCAAAGAAAUUGACGGGGGCCCGCACAAGCGGCGGAGCAUGCGGAUUAAUUCGAUGCAACGCGAAGAACCUUACCAAGGCUUGACAUAUACUGGACCGCAUCAGAGAUGGUGUUUCCCUUCGGGGCUGGUAUACAGGUGGUGCAUGGUUGUCGUCAGCUCGUGUCGUGAGAUGUUGGGUUAAGUCCCGCAACGAGCGCAACCCUCGCUCUAUGUUGCCAGCACGUUAUGGUGGGGACUCAUAGGAGACUGCCGGGGUCAACUCGGAGGAAGGUGGGGAUGACGUCAAAUCAUCAUGCCCCUUAUGUCUUGGGCUUCACGCAUGCUACAAUGGCCGGUACAGAGGGUUGCGAUACUGUGAGGUGGAGCUAAUCCCUAAAAGCCGGUCUCAGUUCGGAUUGGGGUCUGCAACUCGACCCCAUGAAGUCGGAGUCGCUAGUAAUCGCAGAUCAGCAACGCUGCGGUGAAUACGUUCCCGGGCCU
rnacentral:rRNA from 1 species